rnacentral:rRNA from 1 species
CCUGAACGCUGGCGGCGUGGCUAAGACAUGCAAGUCGAACGGGUGUAGCAAUACACCAGUGGCGGACGGGUGAGUAAUGAAUCGCUAAUGUGCCCCGGAGCCAGGGAUAGCUUCCCGAAAGGGAAGGUAAUACCUGAUGAUAUAACUUUGUCGCAUGGCAGAGUUCUCAAAGCAGCAAUGCACUCUGGGAGCAGGCGAUUUCGUAUCAGCAGUUGGUGAGGUAACGGCUCACCAAGGCGACGACGCGUAGCCGGGCUGAGAGGUCGGCCGGCCACAUUGGGACUGAGACACUG